GCGGAGAGCCGGCGGAGAUGGCAAAGACCGACGCGAAGGACGCUUGGAGUUGGAAAGGGCACCGAUGGAGUGACUGAGUGGCUAAGCUCUCAGGCGGAAGAAAGGCGUCGACCCUCAGGCGAAGUGAAGCCCCUGGAGGAAAGGCGGGGGCUUAAAUAAGCAACGGAGCCUGGCGCAGUUAUGGUGGCAGGUGUCCCUAGGCCAACCAGUGCCCACCACGUG
rnacentral:lncRNA from 1 species